rnacentral:lncRNA from 1 species
GGAAAGUGAGGGAGUUCAACUCUGUAAAGGAAGAAUGGUAUGCCAGAAUCACUAAAUGAAGAAAGAUGGUGGAUCAGCUUUUCUGCAAAAAAAUUUGUAACUCCAGUCAAACUCCAUUGUCUCCAAGUCGACUUUCGUCCUCACCCACAACUCCUCCACACAAGCCCUGAACAUGUGUCCAUUUCCUCAGUGUGGCUGGCCCAGAUACUGACCCUACACAGUUGCCUCCCCCUGGUGACUACCCGCCAUGGAACCGUUGGAUACAAUCUGCAUGACUCACCCCACAGACCUCACAGCCCACUUGGACAGCCCCCACACGCCAGAGUGACCUGCUCAGUUGCAGCGGAAGCCAAGAAAUGUGCCUGCUGGCACUCACCCCACCGACUAGAGCCCCGUGGAAAACUUAUUUGGGUACUGUUCUGGGCCCAAUAAAGGCUGGAGUCCCACAGACCCCUUUUCUCUCUCUUGCUCCCCACUCAUCUUCUCCGUUUUGUUCAGCCCUAUGAGGUGUGCUACUGUAUUUGUCCAUUUUCACACCGCUGGUAAAGACAUG